UGCUGGGGGGGGACAAAGUUGGGAAUUGCAGGGAGGGGUUUUAAAGUCAAGAGCUGGGGAGAGGGCUGUCUGGGAACUGUCCCUUUGGGCAGGUAAAGGCAGUGGGUUACUCUUCAGCUUGAUGUCAGUGUGUGCCAGGCAGGGCAGCUCCAGCCUGCGUGUGUCAUGGUGUAGUUUGUGUGGUCUGUUGUCUUUUGUGUCUCAAACCCUCCUUGGGUCCCAGUCUCCUCUUUGUGCUCCAGGAGCACAGCACUCGCCUUGCAGCCCAUCCUUAGGUCUUGAGCAUCAUCUGUGCUCACUCUCGUAGUGCCCGUGGGGCGCUGCUUUUCUUGCCUGAACUCAAAAGCCCCGCUGGGCCUCGCGACUCGGGUGUCUCCUCUUGAUCCUCUUUUUGCGCCGGUGUUGCGGUCGGUGUCGUCAGCCCCGCUCUGGAGGCUUCUCUUUCACAGGGAGAAUCUCUUUUUUUUUCUGGGCAUUCUUCCCUGUGUCCUUGCAUUCUUGGGUCUUGCCAAGGCUUCUCGUGCAUCCGUCUGUUUCAGUUCUGACUGUAGCUUCUUGUCAUGGUUUGCAAUGUUUGACCUUUCUCUGGGGCUGCCUUACGGGCUCCUUACUGCUGAAAUCACGAGUGAAUUGAGUAUAGGAAUAUUGGGACUAAUGUGUUAAUUAAAGGGAUAUCAGUUCAAAUUGCAUGCCUGUUAAAGACUUGUGCAAACUGACCACUGCUUGACCUAAGCGACUUGACUUUGGACUGGACUUGUGACUUGACUUAGCCUGAGUAUCUGGAGUGAUGAGGCCUUAGGCUGCCAUUCUAAUUAAUCUUCAGCUGAACUCCUGUGAUGAGCCUUAGUUAGACCUUGACUCUACCAGCUGUAAUAAUAUGGAAACAAGAUGUGGGCAAGAUAAUUACUCAAGACGAUCUUCUGAACUGGGAAGAUGCAUUGACUGAAAGUUAAGUGGGAGCAACUGGACAAAAGCAGAAUGUGGAAGACUUUUCCAGCUGAGAAACAAGUGGAAGAGAGCAAGACUGGAAGCACCCAGCUCGAGCUGCAGUAAACUGGUUCUGUGGCAGAACUGAGGGUCUGAGCUUCUCUCUCAGGUUGGAGGUGAAGACUGGAUCCAGCUGCACCUAGGCUCUGCCCUGAGAAGAAGCUGAGAAACCAAGGAGGUCCUGUCUGAAGCUCACAACUCGAAAGGAGGGACUUUCUGGACUCUUCAGCACUCAUCUCCUGCUUGCGGUCCUGUAUGUCUUGCCACCUGGUGGCAUCUGCAUUGGAGAAGGAGUUUUUUUGUUGCUGAGAGUUUCCUCUCAUGCUUGUGUCACAUCCUUUGUGUUUGUGUGUUGUGUCUCUGUGCUGUUGGGUUGGAGCUGCUCUCUCUGGAGCCUGUAGCAACUGUGGGGUUGGGAGAAGAAUAGCAAGGAGAGCCUGUGGUUUGUGUUGCUGUGCUGCCUGUGCCUGUUGGGGUGCAGAUAGAGCAUUUGAAGUGAAGUAGCAGCCCUCAGCAGGGGAAGGUGGCCAUUUUCAUAGUGUUUUUGAGAGGGGGUGGCUGGAGCCACCUGGGAGAGGCUGCUGGAGCCAUAGCCAAGCAGGUUGGGUGUCCAGGUUGUUAAGGCCUGAAUGUGUGGGGCGUAAUGUUAACUUGGUUUUUAGCUCCCUUGUAGGUAGUUAGGAUCUCGAAGAUGUUCCUAAAUGAGAAUCUCUGGAAUUGCAUCCGGCUGAUUGCUUGUUACUGCUUUUUCAGAUGCAGGGAGAGGAGCCACGCAGCAGAGGGUGAUGGAGGAGAGGAGCAGAGCGCGGUGAGGAGCUGGGUCGGUGCGUAUUGAAGAGUCUGGGUGAGUUGUCCCCUGGGUUGUGAGGGAAGGUGUGAGUGGUGCCUCUAUCAACUGGCUCAUGGUUUGGGUUUGUUUUGUAGGUGCAAAGCACGGAGGGAAGCGGGAGAUCUGCACUGGAGGUGACUCGAGCAAGGCGGCACACAGGGCUGGACGUGGCAACCUGUGACCAUCAGAGGCCAGACAGUUUUGCAGCCUUGGAGCAGUGGAGCAGCAUGCCAACGGGCCAUCUGUGGAGAUGACACAGGCGUCAGCCAGAUGCCACAAGCAAGGAUGGCCUCAGCAUCUGAUUCUGGAACCAGCAGAUCACUAUGAGGAGCCUGGCGAUGGCAGGAACAUCCCGGCAAGGAUGGCUUGUCGAGGAGGAAGGCUGCGGAGCCCUGGCCAUCUGAAAGCUAAGUGGAGGGGCUGGGAGGAGGGGACAAGGUUGGGGAUUGGAGGGGGGGUUUUCAAAGUUGGUGUAGGGGAGAGGACUGGCAGGGCACAGUCCCCUUGGGGCAGGCAAAGGGAGCGGGUUACUCUUCAGCACAAUGUCAGCGUGUACAGGGCAGGGCAGCUCCAACCUGUGUCUGGCGUGUACUUCGUGUCGUCUGUUUUCUGUGUCUUAGACUGUAUGUUCCUUGGGUCUUGGUGCCUCCAUAGCUCGGUGACCAGCAGGCACCUCGGUAGCCCUCCCAAGAGUCCAGAAUGCAUCACUUCACUGGCACAGAGCCUGUUGAGCCCUUCUCAUCUCACAAUUACAGCUUGAUGCGUGGAUCUCUUUGGCGUGUGUCACUUGCUGGCUGUUCCUGAGCGUUCAUCUCUUGCGGUGGCCAGCCAGGUGCUGCCCGCAGCUCUGCUCUUGAGUCUGCUGUUUCCACAGAGUCAUUUUCUGGGGUUUCAUCCCCAUGUCCUCACUGGUCUUGGGUCUUCGAGCAUGGCUUCUCACACAUCCCUUAUUCUGGCUUUGAUGGCAGCUUUCUCUUGUGUGUGGCUGCAAUCUCCUCUCCUUGGCAGGUCUGCUUUAGAGCAUCCGUGCCAUCGUGGCACCGUAGGGCUUCUCUGCCAGCAUCAUCUUCCCUAUGGGAAUCUUUUACUGAGCAAGGACAAGAGACUUAUAGAAAGUUACAAAGGUCUUGUGAAACAAAGAUCCUGAUCUUGUUGAAACAAGAAGAUGGGGAAGCACGUGCUUUUCUUAAAAUGUGGCAGAAUUGCCGAAGUUGCUGUAGCUGAGCGACGUCUGCUCGUGACAAAAUCAACAAUAUGGAAACCAGACCUUCAGCAUUUAGGCUGCCCACCUCCAACUGAAGACCUACGCACUGUGUGUGCUGUACCUUGAAAUCAGAGUGAGAAAUUCACUAACCAAUCAGAGUAGAAUAACCGUGAAUAUGUAUUAGGUGGAGCAAACUAACCAAAAGUGUGUGAAUGUGUAGAGUUUUGUGACUUCAGGGGGCAGCUUUGUGUCUUACCGCCUCUCGCCCUGUGUUUGCCUAAAUGAAUGAAAUAAAUGAAAAUACCUUGGCUCUGUAUGUAUUUUGGCAUCUUGCAUAGUAGGUGAAUGACCCCACUUUUGGUAUAAUGAGGUAUAACACUCGGGGUGUCCGUGUGUAGUCCUGGUCUGUGUGUGAGGGUUGGAGCUGCCCUGCCCAGGGAUGCAGCAGUACUGAUGACAGGGUAGUGUAGCUUUAUGGGGGUGUGGAAGUAAGUUGGUUUGGACCAGUUCUGUUGGCAGAGACCAUACGGUCCAUCUCUGGGCAAACAGGUGUAGGCAGCUGCCACAGUUGUGUUCACUUUUCUUUAUGGUCCGGGGCUAGGAUUGGAUCCAGCCGCACCUAGACUCCUCUGAGAAGGAGUUUAGAAAGCAAGGGGGUCCAGUCUGAACCUCGUGACUGGUUGGGAGCAGCAGUUAGUGUGGAAGGGGAGCGGGUCAGAUCUGGAAGGUGCCUUAGCUUGCACAGAUGGGGCUCCCUAGCUGGCUUUUCUUCUUCUAGCUGUAGUGAGAAGGUAUAUGCAAAAGGCAGAGAGACCUCUGGCCUCACCAAGCUACCUGUGGCUGUGCAGGUGACUUGCUUUACAGGGUGUGUUUGUGUUGUUUCAGAUGCAGAGCAACAAGCAGCAAGGCCAAGGGCACGGAAGAGGGGAGCAGAGUGCCGGCUGAAGAAGGACAGGCAUCCAGCUCCGGAGUAUCGGCAGGACAGCUGGUGGUUCUGACAAGCUUGAGCUUCUCUGGCUGGAUUUUCUGGGUGCAAAUCCAAGUGUGAAGUGAGAUGUUAUCAGCAGAGCGGCCUCUGGCAAGAUGGAGACAUACAAGUAGCGGUGACCAGAUCUGUGCUGGAAAAUGGACUUGAUGGAAAGUACCAAACUUCUCUUUUGUUGCAAUCCGUAAUGAUUUUUUUGGCCUCAAAUGUUUUUUGUGCUGCUUCUCAAACACACUUUCCCAGCCUUUUUUUAAAUGUAAGCAGACAUUGAUAGAAAAACCAGCACUCAGAAUAUUGAUGGAAAAAUAAUUCUGAACAAUUUCAGAACUUCACAGACUUGUUUAUAAGACUUACUUAUUUGAAAAAGUGACACACUUGUUGCUAAUCAAUUAAUAACACAUUAUUUUUCACUUCAUAAUGGAGUCACAAGCUGCUGUUGUCAGACCCUGAUCUCUGGGAGGCUCUUUGUAGAAAAUCAUGCAUAGGAAUAGGAUCAUCCUCUAGGAAAGCUGGAAACACUGUGGUUCAUAAGUUGGAUUUUUUUGUGGAGUAAAACCUGGCCGUGUUGGGCAAGCCUCCUGGAAAUACCCCUGAUUUCCUAGGAACUUGCUGGAGGAAUCCCAAGGCAGACUGACCAUGACACCUGAAGCAGAUACCAGCCACUGGUGUGUUCAGAUGCUGAACAAAUAUUUCUCAUACUCCCUUUCAAUUGUUGGAAACCUGCCAGAGUUAAAUCCCAUCUUUAAUUUCUGGAGCUUUGCUGUUUUCCUUAUUUUUCUGCCUCAGGUGCAUGAUCUGAGGUGUUAAUUUGAACUUGGACUGGAAGAUGCAGUUAAAAUACUCAUCUUUAUGCAGAAAGCAACCAGGGAAGACAUUCUCAAGUCAUUGCCUGACUUGGUUUGUUUCUCCAUGCAGAAAAACUCAUAGGUAUGUAAAGCAAAAAGCUCUGGUCUUAAGAGGCAGUAUGGGUUACUUUAAUAUAUGCCAAUUGGUGUGGGGAGAAACUCAUUCUGUUGUAGUAAAAAUAUCUCCAUCUUAAUAGACCUAGCAGACUUUAUUUGUUUACAAAAGCUUUAGUACCAAAAAAUACAUUAAUAAAAGAGGCUAGAAAAACAUAUUGGAAAUAUUAGUCUGUACUUGCAAAGGAUUCUUUUAACAAUUUUAAAUAAAGAUUUUCCAGAAUUUGGUGGGGGGGAGAAAAAGAAAUUUACCUGGAAAACCAUGCUGACUGCAAGAGGAAGAACACCAUUUGGCAUCUGAUUUUUUUUUUUUCCUGUUUUUUGUUACCUAACCAAACACUUUCACUUACUGGUUUUAUCAAAGCUAAAAGAAAUUGUCAAAACAUCCCACACUAAUUUGAAAUUAAUUUGUUGUCUAAUCUAAAAUACUCUAAAAUAACCUCUGUCUCUGAGCAGGGCUUGGCCUGCUAAAGUCACAGCUCUGAUCUUGAGGGAGUGAGUCCUCAGAGAAGAGCAGGGACAGGACUGAUGUCAUUCACAGCAUUUUUCCCUGGCUGCCUGGAGCCUGAUAGCUGGUUCCAGGUCUUCUACCUUCAGUAGGGAUCAGUGGGAAUCUCAGCAGGAGGUUUAAACACCCCCAUCUGUCUCCCAGCAAAGGUCUGCUGCUGUGUGUUCACAUCUCCUUCACACUUUCCCUGCUCCUGCAUUUUCUCCAAGAUCUUUUCUCCUCCUCUUUUGAGGAAGAUGCCAGAGUGACAGUAACAAAAGCUGGAACUUUUGGUAAAAAUACAUUCAAUAUUUCUGCAUGUCAUGGACUUCUAGGCAGUGUUAGGUGCUUGCUACAGCUACAGCCAUCUCCAGGUUUUCUCUUAACUUUCUGCAAGGGAGCUGUGCACAGUGGUAAAUAGCAUGAUGCAAAUCAGACUCACCAUAAACUCCUGUGAGAUGGGCAGUUGUUGUACAGAGCAUCUUUGAAAGGGGAGCAAAAGCAAAGCUCAAGGGAUGACAUGAUACCUCUCUAAUGGUUUCCUGACUGAUUUGCAUGUAUGCAGAUUUAUGCAUUCUGUUUGUAUGUACUUGUUUCCCAAAGCUCUGUAUGAUUCAUUUAUUUCAUCCUGGUUUUGUAGUAGCUUGAAAUUUAUCCAUGCACUGUUCAGGAUCUGGUCCUAUUGCCCUCAAAAGUGUUGAGGUUCCUCAAUCACAUUCAGCUGUUCCCCCUAAAUGACUUCUUCAGGAUCAGGUUGGAAGCACCUGAAGAACAGAAACAGUCUUUUCUUAUGCUGUAAUGACAGGUGCAUUUUCACUUUGUCAGUUAAAAGGUAACUAGGUCCACAGAUGAGGCUCUGGAGGAAUGGUUCAAGAUGCAGCUUCUCCCAGCUCAGAUGCAUUACACAGACUUGCAGGCUGCUGCUGAGCAGCUGCUGGUGGAGAAGAAAGAAGAGUCAUCCAUCACGUGGGGAAGGAACCGUGAGUCAAGAACGAGCGAGAAGAGAAGAGGAGCAGAGGACUGAAGGGGAGGAAGGAGAAAGGCGCUGUGGGCAAAGGGACCUGCCUGUCACUGGAGCUGUGGUCACACAAGAGGCUUUGUUGCCUUUUGCCACCCUUUGGUCAACCAGCUUUGUCACCGCCUUUGCUACAGGAUGACCUUGUGUCCAUGGCCUGUCAGUUGUGGUGCUCAAAAGACUGGCAGAGAGCGCUCCCUGCACUCCAGCAGGGCCUGAUGGACUUGGCCUCGGUUGG